ACUUGCUUAUGCACCACAUGUGUUUUUCUUUGAAACAAACUUGCUUUGGCGGUGGGCCCAGCCUGCCGCCAGAGGUCUAAACUUACAACCAAUUUUUUAUCAACUUGUCACACCAGAUUAUUACUAAUAGUCAAAACUUUCAACAACGGAUCUCUUGGUUCUCGCAUCGAUGAAGAACGCAGCGAAAUGCGAUACGUAAUAUGAAUUGCAGAUAUUCGUGAAUCAUCGAAUCUUUGAACGCACAUUGCGCCCUCUGGUAUUCCGGAGGGCAUGCCUGUUUGAGCGUCGUUUCUCCCUCAAACCGCUGGGUUUGGUGUUGAGCAAUACGACUUGGGUUUGCUUGAAAGACGGUAGUGGUAAGGCGGGAUCGCUUUGACAAUGGCUUAGGUCUAACCAAAAACAUUGCUUGCGGCGGUAACGUCUACCACGUAUAUCUUCAAACUUUGACCUCAAAUCAGGUAGGACUACCCGCUGAACUUAAGCAUAUCAAUAAGGCGGAGGAA
rnacentral:rRNA from 1 species